CCAGGCCCAGAAGUGUAAGAUCCGGUCCCUAUCUUCAGGGGGGUGGCAAACAAACAUAACAUAAAGGAGAGUGUCUGGCUUGUGUCUUCUGGGUUCGUGAUCCCCCUGACUUCAGUGUGAGAAUGUGGCCAGAGCGUCUGGGGAAGACAGGGAGAGUUGUCAGAGAGGAGUUUUGAGGAGGCCCUGAAGGCUCGCCGGCUGUUAAGGCUGAGCUGUAGUGGGCAAGAAGAGAUGGCCAGUUCAGGUAGAGGAAGCCUGCUUUGAGCUGAAGACCAGAGGUGGAUCUGGACAGGGCUUCCCAGGACCGGUAUUUUUCCCUCUCCACCCUGGUCUUCUCCUGUAGCGUGUGGCCGCCUUUUCCAGCAUGGCCUCCUGCUUCCCUGGUGCACUUUUUGGAGAAGGUGGUGGAAUCAGAGGUUUCUGGCUGACUCGGUG
rnacentral:lncRNA from 1 species